rnacentral:rRNA from 1 species
UCGAGCGGUAGAGAAGAAGCUUGCUUCUUCUUGAGAGCGGCGGACGGGUGAGUAAUGCCUAGGAAUCUGCCUGGUAGUGGGGGACAACGUUUCGAAAGGAACGCUAAUACCGCAUACGUCCUACGGGAGAAAGUGGGGGAUCUUCGGACCUCACGCUAUCAGAUGAGCCUAGGUCGGAUUAGCUUGUAGGUGUGGUAAUGGCUCACCUAGGCAACGAUCCGUAACUGGUCUGAGAGGAUGAUCAGUCACACUGGAACUGAGACACGGUCCAGACUCCUACGGGAGGCAGCAGUGGGGAAUAUUGGACAAUGGGCGAAAGCCUGAUCCAGCCAUGCCGCGUGUGUGAAGAAGGUCUUCGGAUUGUAAAGCACUUUAAGUUGGGAGGAAGGGUUGUAGCUUAAUACGCUGCAACUUUGACGUUACCAACAGAAUAAGCACCGGCUAACUCUGUGCCAGCAGCCGCGGUAAUGCAGAGGGUGCAAGCGUUAAUCGGAAUUACUGGGCGUAAAGCGCGCGUAGGCGGCUUGAUAAGAUGGGUGUGAAAUCCCCGGGCUUAACCUGGGAGCUGCAUCCAUAACUGUCUGGCUAGAGUACAGUAGAGGGUGGUGGAAUUUCCUGUGUAGCGGUGAAAUGCGUAGAUAUAGGAAGGAACACCAGUGGCGAAGGCGACCACCUGGACUGAUACUGACGC